GCUGACCUUGAGAGAGCGGAGGAGGCGCAGGCGCAGCACAGUUUAAACUUGAUUUUGUGAGGGGACGAACAGCGUGACAAUUAAAAGAAGAUCUGGGAAUCAGCAACUGGGAACCUAAUUCUGACCAAAAAGGAGGAAUUGUUUGGCUAAUUGGAAGUGACAGAAACCUUGGGAGAAAGCAACCGCAUACCAAGGAUAAUUAUAAGAAGAAGAGAAGACAUGGAGAAGAGGAGGGAGUAGUUGUGACCGUGGAGGCAGAGAAUGGAGUAAUGUGAUCAUAAAUCAAGGAAUGCUGACAGCCACUAAAGCUGGAGAAGGCCAAGGACAGAUAUUCAAUCCUCCCGUAGAAGUACAGCCCUGCUAAUGCAUUGAUUUUGGACUUCUGGCCUCAGAACUGUCUGGAAAGCAUGGAAAUUUGUAUCUUCAUUCACUUUUGUUUUCAUGGACUCUUUUCAUGUUUGAACUUUUCAUGGUUUAAAGACUUUCAUAAGAAGUUUCAAAAAUUACACUGUGAGAAUUUCAUUAAUUUGAAUACUAUCUCAUUCUGCUGUCUUUGCUCUGCAUUUGUGAAGGGAAGGCAUUUCAUGGAUGACUUUGGCAUUCAUCAUAAUGAGAACAACUUCCAUGGUGAAUACUAACCGGAAGAAUUGUGUGCUUUUUAAUGGUUUGGAACAUCACUCCUGGCAGCACCUUGGAGACUUAUUUUUUAACUAAUUUAUGCUCACGGGGUCUGGACUUCAAGAGCAUGUGUCCAUUCAAACCACUUACACACUUUAAUACAAUCUCUAUAAUAGAAGUUAUUCAUGUGGUUAUUUGAAGCCUGGUGGUAUAAUCCUCUCAUAUGAUAGUGUACUUUUGUGAGUUAGAAGUCAACAUUAAAAGGCUCACAGAGUUAAUUUAGGUUCUGUCUGAUUCAUCACUCAGCUAGUCUUUGCAAACUACAGGAUACUGUUGUUGGGGACAAGUGGGAAGAAAAGUGCCAGAACUCUACUUUUAGAUAUAAUUAAAAUCUUCAAUCUGUAGGACUAUCCUGCUCAGAAUAAUAUGUACCCUUUGGUGGUAAUUCAGGAUUUUAGUGCUAAACCCAAAAGAACAGGGCAACUUGACUUUUUAAAAAUUUUAGAUAUGAGAAUAAACAGUAAUGCUAUGGAGAAAUAUUAACAGGUGAGCACCCUCUCAAUUCAAAAUAACACAUUGUUACUAGUAGUGAUUCAGGUAAAUACAUAUUUUCCAGUUGGACUUCUAGUUUCAUAUGUGUUCCUUUACUUUGUCAUUGUUAAAAUGCACUUCUCAAAUUUUUGAUAGUUUCUGCCUCCUUCUCCUCAAAUUUCUGUGGUAUUUACCACAUAUUUUAAAAUCUUGCAUUUUUUUCCUUUCUGUUUUGACCAAUAAGCCUCACUAUACAAUUAACAGUUUUUACGUGGUUGAAUAAGAGAGGGAUCAAGAAUAUCUUUUGAGAAUCUAGAAACAUGAUCAUCUUAAAUCUUGCAAACAAAAAUUAUUCUCAGGGUAUAUAAUUUUAAAAAUUAGGUUUACAAGGCUCAUUCAGCUUUUAUUAGUCAUUGCUUUAACUAAUAAUGUCCAGAUAAUAAAAGUUGAUCCAUGGACAGGUUAAAUUUCUCACUUUUAAGUUUUAUUUUUUGCUUGGUGUCAUUCAUCUAGUUUUUAGAUAAAUGUCUACAUUCAAUGUUUAAGAGCUCAGACCUAAUGAAUCACAUCCUUAGAAGUGUUUUCCCUCUGGUAAAGUCCAAUGAACUGUUGCAGUAUUACUGCCUCGAGGAACAAAUUUUUUUUAAUUAUACUUUAAGUUCCAGGGCACAUGUGCACAAUGUACAGGUUUGUUACAUAUGUAUACAUGUGCCAUGUUGGUGUGCUGCACCCAUUAACUCGUCAUUUACAUUAGGUAUAUCUCCUAAUGCUAUCCCUCUCCCCUCCCCCUACCCCAUGACAGGCCCCAGUGUGUGAUGUUCCCCUUCCUGUGUCCAAGUGUUCUCAUUGGAACAAAAAUUUUUUAUCCUAAUAAUUAAAAUAACUUGGGAAUAGAAUAGUUAAGUAUUGGUGUGUCUACUAAGUUCAUCUCCCAAGAUGAGAUAAGAAAGAAAGAAUAAAAGUUCUUUGUUAAAUUCCCUUUGUCAGUCUUCACAGAUUGGAAAAAAAGAAAAGUGUACGUUGGAAAAGCU
ensembl:lncRNA TMEM161B-DT TMEM161B divergent transcript